CUUCUGAUGAAGAGUUCCAAACUAGUGGGACGAAACAGCUGUCCAGUAC
rnacentral:hammerhead_ribozyme from 1 species